GCCAGGCCUCUUGGGAGUUUAGAAUACUUUUCUGAACUGAAAUGUCAAUAUAGCAUUUACAUAUAUAUCAACAGUUUAAUAGAGAAGAUAUAAAUGAAUAAAAAAUAAAAAAUCAAGAAGCAAGAAUUAAUAUUUUCACAAGUUUCAAUUAACUGUCUAUACUUGGCCAUUUGUACAAGAAAACCAAUUAACAGUUUGGCAAUUCAUAAUAUAAUGCAGAUGGCGAAGACUGACAACAUCUUUGAGCUCAAACUGGUACCUUCUAUUUUAACUUCUUAUUUUUGUUUCUGAAUGCUUGUGUUGGUCCUCUCAUGCUGUUCUCAGGAGAGAAUCUCAGACAAAAGCUUCAUGAAUUGUUCAUUUAUUUAUAAAUAAGUUGUAAAUUUGGCCUUCAAAGAAAAGGUUUAAUAGAUGUCAAUUAUGAGGGAAUUUACAAUGUCUUGAACACUUACUCCAAUUCCAAGGAGAAAGACAAUGAAGACAAAGGGGGGAAAAUUACAUUUUGGGCCAAAUGUUCAAAUAUAUCUUGUGAAGAAUAAUAAAAAUAUUAACAUAUACUUUGAAAAAAACAUGAUAAAUUGUUACCAGAAAACUGACUUUUGUGUCUGAUAAAAGCUACUUUUUCUACACCUAAUUCUUUGUUACUUUUUGCUUUUU